AGAGGAGGCCUGGAGGACAGGUGCUGCAUGGCUGUCGUCAGCUCGUGUCGUGAGAUGUUGGGUUAAGUCCCGCAACGAGCGCAACCCUUGUCUUUAGUUGCCAUCAUUCAGUUGGGCACUCUAAAGAGACUGCCGGUGUCAAACCGGAGGAAGGUGGGGGAUGACGUCAAGUCCUCAUGGCCUUUAUGACCAGGGCUACACACGUACUACAAUGGCCGGUACAAAGGGCAGCCACUUAGCGAUAAGGAGCCAAUCCCGUAAAGCCGGUCUCAGUCCGGAUUGGAGUCUGCAACUCGACUCCAUGAAGUUGGAAUCGCUAGUAAUCGCAGAUCAGCACGCUGCGGUGAAUACGUUCCCGGGCCUU
rnacentral:rRNA from 1 species